CGAACGGUCGAGUAACGCGUAAGCAACCUGCCCGGAAGCGGGGGAUAAGCCGGAGAAAUCCGGGGUAAUACCGCAUAGCUUGGAGGGAGGCAUCUACCUUCAAGAAAGGAGAGCGAUCUCCACUUUCGGAGGGGCUUGCGGCCUAUCAGCUAGUUGGGGGGGUAACGGCUCACCAAGGCGACGACGGGUAGCUGGUCUGAGAGGACGACCAGCCGGACUGGGACUGAGACACGGCCCAG
rnacentral:rRNA from 1 species